CUCCAUAACGACGCAAAAGACUAGCAGGGAGGAGAUGCGAUGCACACCUUUUGUAAACACAGGAGCCAAAAUGAAGCAAAGAAUAGAAAAAGCUCGACCAAGGGCCCAGACAGGCUGUGGUGCCUCAGAAUGGGGUCCUCGGGUUGCUUGGGCUACACAAUAGAAGGUGCUACAAACAGUUGCUUCUGGAAAGAUCCAGUCAACAACUAACACCCCUUCUUGACUCUCCUUCAACCACAAACACUGAG